UCUAUUAGUAAUUAUUAAUAGUAAAAUCUGCUCCAUGUCUAAUAAAUAGCCGCAAUUUGUGCUAAGGUAGCAUAAUCAUUUGUCUUUUAAAUGAAGACUAGAACAAAAGAUUUAACAUUUUCAGUUUAUUUCCCUAAUUUACCCAAUUAAAUUUAUCUUAAACGUAAAAAGACAUUUAUUUAAAAGAAAGACGAUAAGACCCUAUUGAACUUAACUGUAGUUAAACUGGGGCAGUAAAUUAAUUAUUAUUUUAAUAUAAAUUAUUAUAAAAAUAUCUAAUAUCAUUAAAUAAUUCAGUUACCAUAGGGAUAACAGCGUAAUAAUUUUCUAAAGACCUUAUUUAAAAUAAAGAUUACGACCUCGAUGUUGAAUUAAUAACCUAAUUAAGGCAAAACUUAAAAAAGGAAGUCUGUUCGACUUUUAAAAAAUUACAUGAUUUGAGUUCAGACCGGUGUAAGCCAGGUCGGCUUCUAUCUUCUAAAAAAUUUUUUACAGUACGAAAGGACCUAAAAAUCUAAUA
rnacentral:rRNA from 1 species